UCUUCAUUUCACACUCUCUCUCGCCUGCUGUGGCGGCGAGAGAGUGUGUGAAAUGAAGAGA
rfam:Pristionchus pacificus strain PS312 contig2048, whole genome shotgun sequence.